GGUGCUAUAGCUCAGUUGGUUAGAGCGCUGCCCUGUCACGGCAGAGGUCGCGAGUUCGAGUCUCGUUAGCACCGCCA
rnacentral:tRNA from 2 species